UUAUUAUUCGCCAUUUCAAUCUUGGGUCUCCAUGCCCAAGCACAAUCUGUUACCUUGAUAUAAUCAAUUUAUGUUUACUCCUAAUCUAGAUCAAGGAUUAUGCGCUUGAUGCUGGAGUGUCACUGGACAAUUGCUUGGCCUGUUCGAAGAUUCGUUACCAUCAUGAGCAUGAUCACACCCAUGACCCUGGUGUUUCCUCUGUAAGCAUUUGUUUGCGAAGGGGAGAUGAAUCUCUAAAAGUAAAAGUGCUGACGUAUGCCGGACGAAGGGACUACUCUCUAUCAGUGGAAUGCCUCAACGCUUUGCUUUUCAGAUCAAGGAUUAUGCGCUUGAUGCUGGAGUGUCACUGGACAAUUGCUUGGCCUGUUCGAAGAUUCGUUGUACGUACAAGCUUAUGCAAACAUAGGAAAAACUUCAUAGUUACUUGGAACCAAUAUCCUAAAUUAAGAAAUGUACUUUGCCAAUCUGCUUGGAACCUUGGAUGCUGUUCGGAAAGGAGAGAUGGGACAGUUUUGAUGUUUCACUUAAAAGCAGUAUACCUAAUAUGCCAUAUCUUAGUCAU